GCGAAUUCAUUCAUCAGCGCAUCUUUCGGCGGUACAUAUUUGAGCCCAGUGUUUGAUUUUAUUCCUUCGGUUCAACAUAAAAAGUCCCUAUCCGUUUGUUGCAGUCUGAUGGAUCUUGCAGCCGCCGCUUUAUGCAUUGGCUUUGCCUCCCUAAUGAAAUUUUCAAGCAGUAGCAAAAAGAUGUUAGUCAGUUCCUAAAUAAAAUGUAUCUGCGGAUCUGCUCACUGUUGAUUUCGACUACUUGUUCCGUUCAGGACUUGUAAGCUUUUACGUCGAGCUAUACCGGUGAAUGACCUGAAAGGAUUGGGAAGGUUUUAUAAGUUGAUGUUUUUCUAAAGGAUUCGGUAUGUUUUUGCUUUUGUAAAAUUGAUGCUUUUUUCCAAAAAUUUCAGAGGAAUUUCUUGAAAAUAAUAAGAUAGAAUACCCCACUGUUGUGGUACAUGGAACAGUUGGAUCAAACUCAACCGUGGAGAACAGCCGUUUGGGUGUUUUCGUCAAGGAAAGGGCUUCACUUGAGUUAAAGAAGAUGAAACUCUUUGUUUCGGCAGUACCGGACUCGAGCAGUACCAUCAUCGAGGACAUGGUUUCACUUGAGCUAAAGAAGAUGAAUCUCAUUGUUUCGGCAGUACCGGACUCGAGCAGAACCAUCAGCAAGGAAACGGUAAAGAUUUGUGUUGCCUUUUUUAAUUUUUUUUAUCUAUCCAAGAGAGAUAUUGACUGAAUAAUUUUUGUUGGUGCUCCUUCAGGAUUCAGUUAAGUUUGAGGAGACGAAGCUCUUUGAUUCGGCAGUACAGGAAUCUAAAACCAUUUUUGUGAGCCGUAAGGAAGUUCCUUGGUAUUUGGUAAGAUAUGUUUUCAUAAAUGACAUUAUUUUUUUUUUCCUCAAAUUCACAAACAUAUAGCCUUUUAAGUAAUUAGUUGCUUCUAUUUUAACGAUGAUAGGAUGAUGGUACUGCUCGAGUCUAUGUAUUGAAUUACCAAUAUGCCGCAGGAUUUUAUGAUACUUUAAAAACGUACUGCUCUACUGAACCAGUCAUUGCAUACUUUAAAAGCCAUGUUUCUGAUGAAAAAAAUCAAGGUACUUGUCCUGUAGUAAUUCCUUUUUUUUCUUCUCUGGGCUUAAAUAACAAUGUUGGUGUUUCUUUUUAGAUUACUGAUAUUGACUGUAAAAAGUGUUCUCAAGUUCUUGAGAUUGGCACGUAUUUGACUGUUGUUGGUAGGGCUGAGAGAGACAAAGAUGGAGAUCCUACGAUAGGAAACGCAUAUCAGUUCUUCAGUGGACAUAGACAACUUAACGAAUUGGUUACGAAUUUGGAAUCAGAAUCAGAGGGGGGUGCGACUUUAUCCUUUUCCUUGGGUGCUAUUUUGCUCGCUCUGAACAUAAUGCAAACAGCUGUAGAAAGAUCGUGAUGAUACAGCUUAUAUUACUGCUUUCAAUUUGAUAUUUUUUUUCUUUUUGUUUUUAGCUGUCGUCAUAUCUAUUAGUCGCUGACUAUAUAUAUAUUUAUCACUCAGAUUAAAAUAAAGAA